UCAUCCAUGGAAUAUGAACAGUUUUCUCUUUCCAGAGUUGCUGCAUCUCAAAACAAACCCAUUGAUCAAAGAAGUUUCACUCAGAGCCUGAAUAGAUAUCCACCCUCUGAACGUUGUCAGAGUCCAUUUGCUGGAGCCAGUUUGUGCAGGACCUGAACAUCAAAGAAGUCAUCCUCAAGUUGAUCCUGUCACAUCACAGUCCUCGGCAGGAUUCAAAGAAAAUGAAUCCUUAACAAGUAUAGCGGUUCAACGCAAAGGUAGACAACUUCCUCUUUCUAGAUAGCUUAUUGCGCUCCUUUAAACAGGAGCAGGAUGACGGGGAUGCAAAAUAGAUCGAGAAAGAAUUGAUUUUUGAGUCAAAGGUUUAAAUGAUAA